rnacentral:lncRNA from 1 species
UAAGUUAAUUAUUAAGAACCUUAUAAUAUAUAUUUAAAAAAAAAAACUAAAACUUAAAUAAGACCUAAAUCUUCUCCCUCCCUGGCCACUUCACGUUAAAAGCUACCUUACUCUACCCCCUCCAAUUGCGUGUGUGUGAUGAUUAUUUCAAAAUUCGUUUAACAAAGUCUUUACCCAUCUUGGCUUUUCUUCUACUCACGGUAAUUUUUCAACUUCUCCUUGUAUUUUUUGUUCAAUUUUCUUAUCUGGGUAUUGUUUAUUGAGUAAAUAUUUUUAUUUUUGUCAUCAAAUUUGUCUUGUUUCCCCUUCCAUGUUUUUCCUUGCUUCAGAAAUAUGUUGUUUGUUUGUUGUUUGAUACGUUCAGUUGGGGGAGGCAACAUCUCAACUCUGCCUCAGCUGCUGCGCGGGCCGUUAGAAUCACGCCCUUUGCUGCUGCACGGAAGAACGCCACCCUCACCAGUCCACUCUUGGAUGCCAAAAUAAGCCACUCAACAAAAUUCACUCUUGUCUCUCCAUGUACUUCGAAAUUGUAAGUAUCAUUUAUGAACUCAGCCAAUUUAAUUUUGAUUAGUUUAGUUGUGAUUGGAUUAUGUGAUAUAUGGUGAAAUUAGGGAUUGAAAAUCUUGGAUCUAUUAUUUGAAUAUUUUUAUGCUUAUCAAGUGUUUGAUAAAAUUCCUAAGAGAAUGCAGUAAAAGGAUCAUUAUAUCUUAAUUUGCAAGUAUGAAUUCGAAAGAAUAUAUAUUUACAUAUUUAAAGAACCUUCAAGAUUUGCAAAUAAAGAACGGACGAAAGAAAAAGGAUCAUUAUAUCUUCACGACCAUGUUUAACUUCUGUUUAAGUUAAUUGAUCUCGUGUUAAGUUUUCUCAAUUAAUUAAAAAAAUCAAAUCUUUAGGCUUAUGUAGCCAAUAACCAUUAGCAUGCAGUUGCACGCAUAAUUAUUAUAUGGGUGGUACUUAGAAUUACUGUUACAUUUUGCAUGGUACGGCCUGUGCGAAAUAUGCAAAUAAUGAAAGAAAUUAGAAGCGAAGUUUAGUAGGUUUUGAGAAACUUUUGCAAAAUUAGGAUAUUAAGAUGAAUUUGCUUUUUAAUUUGGGCAGUGGAUUUAGGCAUUAGAUGUGAUGACAUUAGAUUCCCCUUCCCCAAAAAAAAUAUAUAUAUUCCUUCAUAAGAACUUUAGAAAAUUGGGAUCUUUCUAUUAUUGUUCACUUUAUUUUGGUAUGUCUUUAUUUUUUUGAAGAAAUUUGUAGAUAGUAUUAAUAUAAUGAUAAGAGUUAACAAGUUAUUCAAGUCCAACCCAUAGAAUUAUAAGUUAGAGUUAUAGAAUAUUUAAGCUACAAAAUUUUAACUAUAAAAUAUUAGGUAGCUUUGAUAUGUCGGUUCAAAGGAUGGUGUUGAAGCUUGGCUUGGUAUAAUUUGCUCAGAAUGUUGUUGGAUUUGCUAGGAAGUGUACAUGUAAUGAUUAAAUAAACUAAUAAAGGUCAACGAGCCUCGGUGCCGCCCCUCCCCCCAUGUGUUGUUGUAUGUUUAAUCAAAAUUAAUGUAUUUAUCUUCUUUCGUACUGGGAUAAUGAAAAAGCAUGGGGUCUCUCCUAAUUAACUUGGUUUCAAAAGAUGUAUUAGAGUGGGCGUAAAAGGUUCAUGAGUCUCCAUACAAAAUCUAAAUGUGUAAGCUAUGUUAUGAUUAUUAUUAUUGUUAUUAUUUUUUAUUUUUUACUCAAUCUCUUAUUUCUUUCAACUUUAUAUUUAUUGUAAAUGUUGAUUCAUUGACUGCUUAAUUAUUUAAUCUAGUUCAAGUUUGACAUCACCUAUUUAAUAGAUUAAUCUAAAGCGUUUUGGAUGCAAAAUUUGUGCAAGUGAAUCGAAGUUGAUUAUGUGCUUGUAAUCUUUUGAUCAUAUUAGUAUUUUGAAGUAAUAUAUGAUCAAAUUUGUGAAAUAGUUUUGGGGAAAAUCUUUAAUUUUGUAAAGAUUGAAAAUGACAGGUACCUUUGAAGUCAUCAUCUACUACAACAUUGACUCAACAAAACGAGGAUUGAAAAUUAAAAUCAAGGAACAAAAUAGCAAAUCUGAGGACGCUAAAGGAUUCAUGAAACAACUAUGGUUUACAUAUUUCUCCUUUUGUGUAAUGUUACUUUUAUUUUCUUCUACAAUGUAAUCUUAUUUUUAGACUAUUGAUUUAUUUUUUUUACAUUUUAGAUUUUAGAUUUUAGAUUUCCUUGUCAUGAAUUAUAUUUGUGUUAAUAAUAUUUUUCACUUUAAAGUUUUUUUCUCAUUAAAUUUUGAUUUCUAUGACUACAUAUUGUUAUUAAAAUUUAUGUGAGACUAUAUAAAUUGCAUUUAUAACAAAUUUGAGACUAAAUUAUUUACUAAUUGUAUUUGCAAAAAUUGUCACAAAUGACACCGACUUGAGACAAUUAUGUAACGUCACGAUAUUUUAAUUUCAACAACAAAAAAAUAGCAUCACUAAUUGUAUAUUCGAACAUCUAAAAUGACAAUUUUUAAUAAUUAUUGAG